rnacentral:lncRNA from 1 species
GCUGCAUUCUUUCUCCUGGGAAGACUGUUUGCUGAAGGUUCUCUGAGCAUGCAUUCUGAAAGCAAGGAACCUUGGUGAGAAGUGUGCCACUGGAGCCUAGCUGUGCAGGUGGGAAGAACCAGCCAGAAAUGUGCCAGUGCAAGAGGGACUUCCCAUGCACUAUUUAGUGGGCAGAGCUUGCUGCAGCUGAGGAAGUCAUGGAAUCGGCAUCGUGAAGUGAUGGAGGAAUGCAGAAGAAAACAGAAUGAAUGAUCUGAAAAACAUCUUUAGAGGGUCUUUGACAUCCUUCAACCUUCUUGAAGUGAUAAACACCAAUAAAACAUGGAUGGAAAGAAAAACUUAGAAUUAUCUCAGGUGUCAUUUCCCUCCAGAUACUGGAACAGUAUUAAAAUCUUACAAAACAAACCUGUCAUUGAGAACUGCACACUUUCAAUAAAAUGCCAUACUGAAAUCUUGUUGAAUAGGAACCUGCAUUCUACCAUCGUCCAUCUGUUAUUUUUCAGGUCACAAAUUUUUAGUAUCCUUACUCUUCAUGAGGUAUUUCUCUCAACUAACUUUUUUAAUGACACAGCAAGAAUUGUGCCAGGAAAGUUUGUGUUCCUUUUGAUGUUCACGUUACUUCAGAAGCAUAUUUGAAACUUAACACUUGAUUUGUAUUAGUGGGCUGUUGUCUUUAACUAAUAACAUUAAUGAGAAAGUAUGAAUGUAUAGCAAAACUGCUUUAACUUUUAUGUAGCGGUGCUUGAAUUUAAU